rnacentral:rRNA from 1 species
CCUACGGGGGGCAGCAGUGGGGAAUAUUGGACAAUGGGGGGGACCCUGAUCCAGCCAUGCCGCGUGUGUGAAGAAGGCCCUCGGGUUGUAAAGCACUUUCAGUGAGGAAGAACGCCUGGUGGUUAAUACCCAUCAGGAAAGACAUCACUCACAGAAGAAGCACCGGCUAACUCCGUGCCAGCAGCCGCGGUAAUACGGAGGGUGCGAGCGUUAAUCGGAAUUACUGGGCGUAAAGCGCGCGUAGGUGGCUUGAUAAGCCGGUUGUGAAAGCCCCGGGCUCAACCUGGGAACGGCAUCCGGAACUGUCAAUCUAGAGUGCAGGAGAGGAAGGUAGAAUUCCCGGUGUAGCGGUGAAAUGCGUAGAGAUCGGGAGGAAUACCAGUGGCGAAGGCGGCCUUCUGGACUGACACUGACGCUGAGGUGCGAAAGCGUGGGUAGCAAACAGGAUUAGAUACCCCAGUAGUC